rnacentral:rRNA from 1 species
UACGAAGGGGGCUAGCGUUGUUCGGAAUUACUGGGCGUAAAGCGCGUGUAGGCGGGUCUUUAAGUCAGGGGUGAAAUCCUGCAGCUUAACUGUAGAAGGGCCUUUGAUACUGGCGAGCUCGAGGGAGGUAGGGGUAUGUGGAACUUCCGGUGGAGCGGUGAAAUGCGUUGAUAUCGGAAGGAACGCCGGUGGCGAAAGCGACGUACUGGACCUCUUCUGACGCUGAGGCGCGAAAGCUAGGGGAGCAAACGGG